GCUGGGCACAGUGGUGCAUACCUGUAAUCCCAGUGGCUUGGGAGGCUUAGACAGGAGGAUCGUGAGUUCAAAGGCCUUAAGCAUCAGCGAGACCCUGUCUCU
rnacentral:sRNA from 1 species